AACGAACGCUGGCGGCAUGCCUAACACAUGCAAGUCGAACGAGACCUUCGGGUCUAGUGGCGCACGGGUGCGUAACGCGUGGGAAUCUACCCUUGGGUUCGGAAUAACAGUUAGAAAUGACUGCUAAUACCGGAUGAUGUCUUCGGACCAAAGAUUUAUCGCCUUUGGAUGGGCCCGCGUUGGAUUAGCUAGUUGGUGGG
rnacentral:rRNA from 1 species